rnacentral:rRNA from 1 species
UACGAAGGGUGCAAACGUUGCUCGGAAUCAUUGGGCGUAAAGCGCACGUAGGCGGCCUUGCAAGUCGGAUGUGAAAUCCCACGGCUCAACCGUGGACGUGCAUCCGAAACUGCUCGGCUCGAGUAUGGAAGAGGGUCGCGGAAUUCCCGGUGUAGAGGUGAAAUUCGUAGAUAUCGGGAGGAACACCAGUGGCGAAGGCGGCGACCUGGCCCGAUACUGACGCUGAGGCACGAAAGCGUGGGGAGCAAACAGG